UCAGUAUUCAGUUUAGCUUGUAGCUCCAAUGAAUCUACCAGUGUUGUUGCAGUAGGUAGCUAAUCAGGCAUCAGUGGGCAGGAGAGGGCUCCACCAAAACCCCACCAGGAAUGUCAGGCAUCAGGUGAUGGUCAGGCGGUUGUUAACUGUCUCUCUAAAAUAAUAAUUGGUUGCAGCCAGCAGCAGGGAAAGGCAGUCUUUCUACAGAUAGGAAACACCUGAGACUGGUGAUCAGCCGCUUCCUGAUGAGAUCUCAGGAGUGAGCUCGAGCAUGCGCAUUAAGAAACAAAAUGGCCGAGUUUAACUGGUAUGUGAACGUUUUAAGAUUUGACUCAGGGGCAUAAAGGCAGAAAAAGAGACUGAGGCAAGUUUUAGGGCAGGAGUGGAAGGCAAGAAUUGAUGUUGCUGCAGACCUGUACGGAUUUGCUGCUGGUUACAUCUACUACAAUACUGCAGAUACAGUAUAACAUUGGUAUUGCUGGUAUGAUUCCUCUCCCUUAGAAUCAGGAAGACAGCCUGGCUUGAUGUCAUGACUACAGGGGUCUAAAAACCCAGAUGGGAACUUUUGCCUUGAGGUUUUCUGAAGCUAAGAUGCAUCACAUAGAUCUUGGUGUUUCAGUCUGAAGACAGGCAGUCUAUGUGUGUGAAUAAGGCCCCUGGAAAGCUUGCACCUGGGCCCCAAUGCUUGCCACAGUAUCUUUCUCUUGCUGCACCGUAUCCUGUGCCUUUGAAUAAAAGCCACACAGAAGAAUGCUCUGUGAAGUCUUAUAAGUCCUUUCAAAUAUCCAAAUUUGUAAAAUCUUUGCAAUAGUCAAGUGACAAAAGCAAGGUCUAGAGCAAUACGUAAGACUGUGGGAAGUAAACUUUCUGAAAUGCUAGCAAGCAAAGGUGGAAAAAGCCAUCAAGGACACAUGUGGGAGAAGAUUUUGAUUCUUCCUACACAAGGAUGUAUUGUAUUGGGUGUUCCAGUUGGCUUGAGGACCAGCAGAGCUUGCAAAAAUUUCAGGGGCACAGACUGAAAAUAAAAGAACAGUGGCAUAGCCCAAAAUAAAGCUUUUAUCCAGCAUGACUAUACCUUGCACAGAUAGUGUGACCAGUAGCUGUGUGACAUCAUGACUCUGGGGAUCUUGGGAAACGUAUGCUGAGAGAGGUUGCACCUUCACCAGGGUGGAGGCUGGAUUCACAGGGCCCAAAGUCUAUUCAUUAUGUAAGAUAUCUGAAAGGAGGCACCACAAACUCUAGCCACUCUUACAACAAUAUUUUGGUUAGAAACUAUAUUUAGAAUUUCAAUAGAAGAGGCCAGAAACACAGCUGCCCACAUCUGAAAGAAC
rnacentral:lncRNA from 10 species